UACAGAGGCCUCGAGCGUUAGGCGGAAUCACUGGGCUUAAAGCGUGUGUAGGCGGACUUCUAAGUACCUUGUGAAUCCCACAGCUUAACUGUGGAACUGCUUGGUAUACUGGUUGUCUUGAGGUACCUAGGGCGAGCGGAACAAGUAGUGGAGCGGUGAAUGCGUAGAUAUCACUUGAACGCCAACGGUGAAAACAGCUCGCUGGG
rnacentral:rRNA from 1 species